rnacentral:rRNA from 1 species
AGAGUUUGAUCAUGGCUCAGAUUGAACGCUGGCGGCAGGCCUAACACAUGCAAGUCGAACGGUAACAGGAAGCAGCUUGCUGUUUCGCUGACGAGUGGCGGACGGGUGAGUAAUGUCUGGGAAACUGCCUGAUGGAGGGGGAUAACUACUGGAAACGGUAGCUAAUACCGCAUAACGUCGCAAGACCAAAGAGGGGGACCUUCGGGCCUCUUGCCAUCGGAUGUGCCCAGAUGGGAUUAGCUUGUUGGUGGGGUAACGGCUCACCAAGGCGACGAUCCCUAGCUGGUCUGAGAGGAUGACCAGCCACACUGGAACUGAGACACGGUCCAGACUCCUACGGGAGGCAGCAGUGGGGAAUAUUGCACAAUGGGCGCAAGCCUGAUGCAGCCAUGCCGCGUGUAUGAAGAAGGCCUUCGGGUUGUAAAGUACUUUCAGCGGGGAGGAAGGGAGUAAAGUUAAUACCUUUGCUCAUUGACGUUACCCGCAGAAGAAGCACCGGCUAACUCCGUGCCAGCAGCCGCGGUAAUACGGAGGGUGCAAGCGUUAAUCGGAAUUACUGGGCGUAAAGCGCACGCAGGCGGUUUGUUAAGUCAGAUGUGAAAUCCCCGGGCUCAACCUGGGAACUGCAUCUGAUACUGGCAAGCUUGAGUCUCGUAGAGGGGGGUAGAAUUCCAGGUGUAGCGGUGAAAUGCGUAGAGAUCUGGAGGAAUACCGGUGGCGAAGGCGGCCCCCUGGACGAAGACUGACGCUCAGGUGCGAAAGCGUGGGGAGCAAACAGGAUUAGAUACCCUGGUAGUCCACGCCGUAAACGAUGUCGACUUGGAGGUUGUGCCCUUGAGGCGUGGCUUCCGGAGCUAACGCGUUAAGUCGACCGCCUGGGGAGUACGGCCGCAAGGUUAAAACUCAAAUGAAUUGACGGGGGCCCGCACAAGCGGUGGAGCAUGUGGUUUAAUUCGAUGCAACGCGAAGAACCUUACCUGGUCUUGACAUCCACGGAAGUUUCCAGAGAUGGAUUGGUGCCUUCGGGAACCGUGAGACAGGUGCUGCAUGGCUGUCGUCAGCUCGUGUUGUGAAAUGUUGGGUUAAGUCCCGCAACGAGCGCAACCCUUAUCCUUUGUUGCCAGCGGUCCGGCCGGGAACUCAAAGGAGACUGCCAGUGAUAAACUGGAGGAAGGUGGGGAUGACGUCAAGUCAUCAUGGCCCUUACGACCAGGGCUACACACGUGCUACAAUGGCGCAUACAAAGAGAAGCGACCUCGCGAGAGCAAGCGGACCUCAUAAAGUGCGUCGUAGUCCGGAUUGGAGUCUGCAACUCGACUCCAUGAAGUCGGAAUCGCUAGUAAUCGUGGAUCAGAAUGCCACGGUGAAUACGUUCCCGGGCCUUGUACACACCGCCCGUCACACCAUGGGAGUGGGUUGCAAAAGAAGUAGGUAGCUUAACCUUCGGGAGGGCGCUUACCACUUUGUGAUUCAUGACUGGGGUGAAGUCGUAACAAGGUAACCGUAGGGGAACCUGCGGUUGGAUCACCU